AAAGCGUGCGCAGGCGGUUUUGUAAGACUGUCGUGAAAUCCCCGGGCUCAACCUGGGAAUGGCGAUGGUGACUGCAAGGCUAGAGUUUGGCAGAGGGGGAUGGAAUUCCGCGUGUAGCAGUGAAAUGCGUAGAUAUGCGGAGGAACACCGAUGGCGAAGGCAAUCCCCUGGGCCUGUACUGACGCUCAUGCACGAAAGCGUGGGGAGCAAACAGGAUUAGAUACCCGAGU
rnacentral:rRNA from 1 species